CGAAGUUUCAUGUUGGGCAGGUAUUCUCGUCAAUAGAAUUGAUUAGGAAGGCAAUUAGGGAGUACAGUUGCAAGGAGAGACUUGGCAUAACAUUUCCAAAAAAUGAUAAAACAAGGAUUGGAGCAAGGUGUACCAAUGGUUGUCCAUGGUAUUUGUAUGCAUCGCAUGACAAUAGAACAAAGGGGAUUAUGGUAAAGACAUUCAAAGAUGAGCACACAUGCAGCAAGAAGUGGCAAGUGAGAGCCUUUACGGCGAGAUACAUAGCAGAUAAAUAUGUUGAAAAGAUUAGAGCUGAUGAGAAGAUGUCAAUUAAGGGUUUAGGAGGAUUGAUACAGCAAGAGUGGAAUAUGAGAAUUCAUAGGCAGAAGCUUUGGAGAGCAAAGAAAAUUGCAUUGAACACAAUAUAUGGGGAUGAAAUAGCACAGUAUAGGAAGUUGUGGGACUACGCAGCAGAGUUAAGGAGAUCCAAUCCAGGGAGUGCAUUUUUCAUUGAAGUUGGUAAUGAUGGAAUUUUCCGGAAGUGUUACUUCUCAUUCGAUGCUUGUAAGAGGGGAUUUUUGUCGGCUUGUAGGCCAGUAAUAUUUGUCGAUGGUUGUCAUUUGAAAACUCAGUUUGGAGGCAUUCUGUUGACUGCUAUUGGGAUGGAUCCGAAUGACUGCAUAUAUCCUGUGGCUUUUGCAGUGGUGCAAAUUGAGAACACAGAGUCAUGGAGGUGGUUCUUGAGUUCUUUGAAAGAAGACUUGGGCAUUGUGAACAGUUCUCCUUGGACAGUAAUGUCUGACAAGCAGAAAGUAAGUGUUAAUGAAAAUAUGUUCUUUACAUAGAAAAUGCUUCUCACUUUAUGUUCUUUACAUACAUAUGCUUCUAACUAUAUGUCUUUUUUAUCAUAUUUGUUCAUUAACAGGGAUUAAUUAAGGCUGUUAGAGAAUUAUUUCCUGAUUCAGAGCAUAGAUAUUGUGUGAGACAUAUCUGGCAGAAUUUCAAUAGAAUUUUUAAAGGAGAUAUAUUGAAAAACCAAUUAUGGAGAUGUGCUAGAAGUACUACACAUGGUCAGUGGAGGGAGAACAUGAAUAGAAUGUUAGUUCUAAACAAACACGCUCAUGAUUGGUUGGAAGAGUUAGACCCAAAAACAUGGGUGAGGGCAUUUCAGACUGAAUUCCCUAAGUGUGAUGUGUUGUUGAACAAUAAUUGUGAAGUAUUCAAUAAGUAUAUCUUAGAUGCAAGAGAACUGCCUUUGUUAAGCAUGAUUCAAAGGAUAAAAGGGCAGUGCAUGGGGAGAAUAUGUGGCAAGCAGGAGGAGUCCCAAAAGUGGACUGGUCAUAUAUGUCCGAAAAUCAGAAAAAGACUGAAUAGGCAUAUUGAUGCUGCAAAUACUUGCAUUGCAGAUCCAGCUGGAAUGGGUAUAUUUCAAGUGGAUGAUAGAGGUGUCCAGUUCAGUGUUGACAUAAACCUGAAGAAAUGUAGUUGCAGGAGAUGGGAUUUAAUAGGGAUUCCUUGUUGUCAUGGUGUUUCAGCUUGCAGAUAUGACAACAUUGCUCCAGAAUCAAUGGUUCACCAAUGCUACUCCAUUGAGACCUACCGCAAGGCAUAUGAGCACAUAAUUAUGCCUUGCAAUGAUAUUAGUGAGUGGCAAAACAUGUAUGGCAAGGAAAUCAUUCCUCCAAAAGUAAAAACAAAGAAAGGGAGGAAACAAAAGAACAGAAGGAAACAACCUGAAGAGAAAGAGGGGAGGGCAGGCAAGAAAGUUGGAAGGGGUGGGGCUGUUAUUCAUUGCAGCUAUUGUGGAUCUGCAGGACAUAACAUUGCUGGAUGCAAAGAUUUCAAACUAGGCCUAAAACCAAAGAAAAAGGGACAAAAGAAGAGAGUUAGAGCAGAGCCAGAGGUUUCGUCAUCUGAUGAAGAAGCUCCUGUCAUUACACAAGUAUAAUAAUCAUUGAAUUAUAUCUAUCAUUUUAAUAUGAUAUAACGUGCAAACUAUAGUAAGUAAUUAUUUGUUUUCUCAAUUCAGGAGCAAAACUUGCAAACUAGGGAGUUGGCACAACAUGAUCCACUUAAUAAUGAGGAUAGUGUCAUUUCUUCAUUGAUCGAAGAGGUAUAGUAUAUUCUUCAUUUAUAAUCAUGCUUGUCUACUCAUCUUUAGUUGAGAUUUUUCUGCUUAUUUACUUGCAGCAUCAAGCAAGCCAGAACAUGGAGCAACCUGAACCAGGACCUCUGCCAGGAUCUUCUUUUAUUGCAAAUCAUGUCCAAAGCCAACCCCCUGUGCAACCAACUACCAUAACAAAAGAGGGGAAUGUUAUUAGAAAGAGGGAAGUUCUAGCAUUAGCUAAACUAAGGGCAGCAGCUGAGAAGAGAGAAAUUGUAGACCAGGCAAAAUUUGAUGCAGCAAUGGCAAAACUUAGAGAAGAAGAGUUGAAGAUUUUGCAAGCUGAGCAGAAGAGGAAAGAGGAAGCGGUGGCAAAAAAGCUGGAGAAAGAGGAGAAACGGAAAGCUUUGUUGCAACAAAAACAAUUGGAUGCUGAAGAAAAAAGAAAAGCAGCCGAGGAAAGAAAGCAAAAGGCACAACAGGAAAAAGAAGCAAAAAAAGCCCUGGCAGAUGCCAAAAAGCAAGCUAUACAAGCUAAAAAGAAACAGGCCGAGGAAGAAAAAAAUAAGAGAGUUGCAGAGAGAAAAAGAAUUGCAGAGCAGAAGAGAAAACAUGUUGAAGAUGCGCAUAGAUAUGAAGAAGCGCAAUUUCUGAUAAUGCAAGAAGAGGAGCAUGAAAGGAUACAACGUAUGAGAGAAUAUCAUCGGCGAGAGGAGGAAGCAAGGAAGCAAGCCUGGGAGGGGCAGGUUGCGUCGCAGAGGUCUUCAGAGAUGCAAGGUUGGGAAGAGAAAAAUAAAGAAGCAGAACAAAUGAGGAUGAGAAGUGAGAAUGAAAGGCAAGGAAAUGAGAGCAUUACGGGCCAGCAAAAUAAUGCCAAAAGAGGAAAUUCAAGUCAGUCCAUGGGUGGUUUUAACAUGCCAAGAAGGACAAGCAUGUUCGAUAUAUUUAGGGACUGAGAGAUCAUUGCAUAUGAACUAUUGGGAGAUGUUCUUCGCGAACCUGCUGGACUAUGCUAUGUAGGUUUUAUUUUAGUUCAUGCACAUGUUAAUUACAUGGUAUGUUCAUGAAUAGUGAAUUUGUUUAUCUGCUUUAUAAACUCCCUUUGAACUGCUCUAUGUUGUCAUAUAUGAGCUUAUUUCUUUGCCCCUAUAAUGUUCUUUGUUGUUUCAUGUCGUGUUGUGUUCAUGUAUGGGUUUUCUUAUUUCCAGUCAGUUUCCUGUAUAUAUAUUACUAGAUCUGUUAAACCCAUUUAACAUUUUUUUUUGCUGGAGUUGUUCUGAAAUUGGCAUGGUGUUUAUUGUUCCUCUAUUUUUGCUGAAGUCGUUCAUAUGCACAGAUCAGUUCAAAUGAUGGCAAAAAGCACAGCUCAAUUCAUUCCCUUCCACAGUGCGCAGCACAAUACAUCUCAUAUUCAUGCCAAUUUCCAUAAAAGCACACACCACAGCCCUGUUCAAAUAUCAUACAAGAAAAGCACAGGAAAUUAACAUAUCACUUAAUAUGUCAUCACAUAAUAGACCUUUGCAUCAGUUCAAAACCAAAAGCUACAUCGACCAUAACAUCUUACAUAGCUACAGCUAUAUCAGUUCACAUACCUACAGCUAUCAGCUGAUCCUAAUACGUCAGUUAAGAACCAAAUACGUGCUACAGCCAUCAGUGCAUCACGGCAUCAGUACAACGAAUCAGCUUGCAUCACAUAACACCUAGCUUACACAGCCGCAUCAAAUUAACUAGAACAGGGGAAUUGGUAAGAAACAGGGCACUUCGACAACCAGCGGCCCAUCCGUCUCCGGUGCCGUCAACCCUGCCACUGUAAAUCUUGAAGUGAUGGGUGCGGGUGAGGUCAGCGCCUUCAGCUGGUAGCCACGCAUCUGGCAAAUGUUCCGCGAGGAGAGGGCUGCGGUCAAGCAUUGCAGACCUUCUGCACGAGCAUUGUAGUCCGCGUCAGCUCACAGCUCUUGCCGCCAACGACCGACACCACCAGCACCACCCCACGGUAGUGCUUGCCCAGAGCGUCUACCGCCGGUGUGCGCGCGAGGAGCAGCCGACCAGUCUCCGGCCGGAGAUACGGCUCGCCGCAGCGCCACACUCACUGGGAAAACGAGCUGGCAAGUAGCCUUGCGGCUGAACCGACGCCGCGCCCGACGGGCGCCUCACGGGGGACCCGCGCUGCC
rnacentral:lncRNA from 1 species